rnacentral:rRNA from 1 species
GAUGAACGCUGGCGGCGUGCUUAACACAUGCAAGUCGAACGAGAAGUGAAGACGGAAACCUUCGGGCGGAAGGCUUUAUUUCGAGUGGCGGACGGGUGAGUAACGCGUGGGUAACCUGCCUCAUACAGGGGGAUAACAGUUGGAAACGACUGUUAAUACCGCAUAAGACCACAGCACCGCAUGGUGCGGGGGUAAAAACUCCGGUGGUAUGAGAUGGACCCGCGUUCGAUUAGCCAGUUGGCGGGGUAACGGCCCACCAAAGCGACGAUCGAUAGCCGAGCAGAGAGGAUGGCCGGCCACAUUGGGACUGAGACACGGCCCAAAAUCCUACGGGAGGCAGCAGUGGGGGAUAGUGCACAAUGGGGGAAACCCUGAUGCAGCGACGCCGCGUGAGUGAAGAAGUAUUUCGGUAUGUAAAGCUCUAUCAGCAGGGAAGAAAAUGACGGUACCUGAGUAAGAAGCCCCGGCUAACUACGUG